CUUUUGUUACUUAACCAAAAAAUCACCAAUAAAACAUACCAUAUACCAUAGUGUUGAAUUGGACUGGGAUAAAAUUGUAUGUUUUUGAAUGUAUGCGUCCCUUUUGUGAAUUUUGGUCUGUGUUAUUAUCGAAUUAACAUACACUAAAUAAAAACAAACAAUCAUAAAAAGCGCUCAUCCUAUUUCUAAGACAGCCCGGUUCGCUGAGCCCUCUCGUGGCCAAUUACGUCACUGCACGCGCUUUCAUCCCUGACUCGACCAAUGAGCGCGGCGCCUCGGAAGUCCUUCUCUUCCUGAUGGCAUGGAAACAGGGGAAGAAAAAUCGAUGUCAAAAUAUUUUGACACGUGACUCGGUAGCGAUUGGUUAUCGAUGCGUCAAGGCCCUGACACAUGGCACGGGCAUAUGCGACCAAAGUGGCGUGAUGAAGGAUCAUCUUUAUGAAAGAAACCCCGACGUGCUUUUUGGUUGUCUGUGUCUGUAAACCAUGAGUAGAUGUAAACGAAAAUCACUUCGUUACUGUAGCUCAGUGAAUAGACGAAUUAGGCGUUUAUGUGGGUAGAUGAAGGGUAACGCCAGUAUUGACGUAAUCUGUAGAGAAACGCUGAUCUAGGAGAGAGUGAGUGCUCCCCCGCAACAACCUCAUCCAAGAAUGAAGGAAUCCUCUGCAUUUCUUUCUCGCCGCGCAAAACGUGUAUUCAAGCGCUCGAGUCUGCAAAUACAUUUCGCUACGCAGAUAUUACGCUGAAUGUGGUGUUGAAAUGUUUGUCUUUAGAUGCACUAUUCAUUAGCUGUUUGUGCGCAUUCUUUUUAACUGCCUGGCCAUACUGACUUGACCUGAACUAGUUAAAAUUUCCCAAUUGGAAAGGGCGAAGUCUGCACAGCAACAAGAGCCAUGUUUGCGUUGCACACUGCCUAAGCAUCUAGUGCGCUUCUGGUCCAAUUGCUGAUGCUUUCCGCCUGCAAAAUCUGCCACAACCGUAGUAAUACCUUGACAACCGGACCCGGGCGAACCGAGAAACAUUUUUGACAACUCGACGGCGGGGAAUCUUUUUUCUAAAUCAAUGCUUGAAGUUUGUUGGACAGGUCCUCGGAUAUUCCUGCACGAAAGUUCUUACGCGGCAAUUAAAAAUGAAGUACUGGUGCGCUCAGGAGUCUUCAUCAUCAGGAUACGAUGGAGCUCUUGGAGGAGGACCUCACAUGCCCAAUAUGCUGCGGUCUUUUCGAGGAUCCGCGCGUUCUGCCGUGCUCUCACAGCUUCUGCAAGAAGUGUCUGGAGGGCAUCCUGGACGGUAACCGGAGCCCUGCUUGGAGACCACCGUUCAAAUGUCCGACCUGUCGAAAGGAGACCGUGCACAACGGCAUCGCGAGCUUGCAAGUCAAUUACUCCCUGCGUGGCAUCGUGGAGAAGUACAACAGGAUUCGAGUGAUGCCAAGGAUGUCUCUCUGCCGAGUUCACAGUGGACAGCCGCUCAACAUCUUCUGCGCCACGGACCUGAAGCUCAUCUGUGGCUUUUGCGCCACGACAGGCGAUCAUAAAAGACACAAGUUCUGCGCGCUGGAGGAGGCGUACGAACGAGAGAAGCUCGCGUUUGAGGAGUUGUUUCGUGUCGUGGAGGGCUGGAGGGGCGCGGAGGUGCAUUCGUGCCUGGAAUCGUUAGAAGGAGCUAAGAGGAAAGCGCUGGAGAGGGUCUCGCGUGACGCGGAUCGAGUCUCAGAGUACUUUGACAAACUUUUACGCACGCUGGAGCACAAACGGAGCGAGAUCCUCUCGGACUUGGAGACUCUGAAGCUCGCGGUCAUGCAGACCUUUGACCCCGAGAUCAACCAGCUCCGCUCGGCGCUCGAGGAGCAGCAGCGUGCGCUCAGCAUCGCCGAAUCCUUCCGUUCGCUCUCGGACCCGCUCACUUUCCUCCAGCAGAUGCAGGACUUCAGGGAAAAGCUGCGCGUCAUUCGGGGAACGCCGGUGCCGUCGCGGACUGACGUGGACGUGGGGUUGCUUGGCCUGCAGAGCUUCGAUGUGAAGGAAUGGGACCGGGUGCGUCUUGGAGAGGUGGACAAGCUGUGCGCCCCCUACGAGAGCAGCACCUACCUGGCUUCGCUGCCCCCUGCUGCCGCUCCGCGCUACUCCCGCGUGCUGUGGAGAGUUGUUCUGGUUGUAUGUGCGUGUCUCCCAGCGCUGAACUUUCUCCCGUCGGACUGUCCCGCUCUGAGCUUCCAGGAUAAGGUGGUCGCACUCGGUGGCUUUUCUCUGCCCUGUCCUGGAGAGAUUGUGCGCUGGCUUGGGUUGUGCUGGAACGAAGCGGAAGCGAUCUGCACGCUACUAACCGAGCUGUGUCGGAACUGUAUCAUGGACCUGAUAAACACAACAUCAGAUUUCCUCAGCUGAUUUUACAGUAUAACUCCAUUCAUUAGUUUUGGAAACGCCAGUAUUGGAAAUUAACUGGAAAAAAAACUAAAGAAGAGGAACACAUUCCGAUUGUGCAUUGAUAUCGUUUAUCUACUCUGUGCAAGUUAUCAGGAGACUCAAGGUUAAACGUUAUGUAACUGAAUGUCAGUCUAGUACCAGGACAGUCCCAGGAAUUGAUGCUGCAGCACAUCACGGCCUGUAUCGCUGUAUCACCACAAACCAUUCUGUGCUGCUACACCAUCACCUAGAGAGGGUCCCUCUCUCUCAAUCACACACUCGGCAACAUGACCAAGCACUGCCAGAAUCACAGAGCGAGUGAGUGACUCCUCUCCUCUCUCUCUCCCUUUCUCUCAGCAGGGCUUGAGGAAUUCCAGGACUCCACCUGAAACACAGAAGAGAGGACGCUUGAGUGAGAACAUA